UCUCUCUCUCUCUUUCUCUCUAAUGUGGCCAGAGUGGUUGAGAUCGCCACGUAGGGCGCACAGCUUCCCUAAAGAGCCACCACAGCCACCAUCACCAAGGUACUUCUUCUGCUCAUCUUUCAAAGAUGUCAACACCCUUCUCUUAGAAGAACCCCAAAAUGGAUCCAAAUCCGAACCCCAAUCCCCUAGAAGACCCUCCAUUUUCCACCGGGUCCGUAUCGCUACCUCACUCCUCCGCCACCACCACCGCCACCACUCUAAAACAUCCACCAUUUCCCCACCUUCUAACCAAGAUGAACACGAUAUCAUCCUCUACUUCACUAGCCUCCGCAUUGUCCGCAAAACAUAUGAGGAUUGCAGAACCGUCAGAUCAAUCCUCCGUGGAUUUCGCGUCCCAAUCGACGAGCGAGAUUUGUCCAUUGAUGGUAGGUAUCUAGACGAGUUACAGAUGAUAACAGGGUCUAAAAAAGUGAGCUUACCUGUAGUUUUCAUGGGAGGGAAGUAUGUUGGUGGUGCCGAGGAGAUCAAGGAGAUGAAUGAGAGUGGUGAGUUGAGGAAGCUGAUUGGUGGGUUACCGUUUGUAGAAAACAGUAUUGGUUGUGAUCUUUGUGGAGGGCUGAGAUUUGUUGUCUGUGAACAAUGCAAUGGUAGCCACAAGAUCUACUCUGAGAAGUAUGGAUUUAAGACCUGCUCAUCUUGCAAUGUGAACGGUCUGAGUAGAUGCGCCCUGUGUUAUCCCGUGAACCGGCGACGCUUGUCAGUGUAACCCUCAAUCCACAAUAAGAAAUAUAGAAAUAAAAUAAUAGAAUUAGAAUUUGCUGGAAUUUUUUUUUUUUUUUUAAGGAUCCGGAAUUUUCUUUUAGUUUUCUCUAUGUUUGCAUAAUCUCUUGCGCCAUCACUAUGUUUAAAAAAAAAUAUAUUGCAUUCAAUUCUAGAGCAGGCUCCUUGCUGCUACCUUCCCCGCUCGGCUUUUUCUUUGACUUUUGUGUUUGUAUUUUUUUUAUUUAUUUACUCUGC
rnacentral:misc_RNA from 1 species